rnacentral:lncRNA from 1 species
UACAGAAUGGCCCUGUCUGAGAGAUAUGUUACCCUAAACACCAAGACUCAAUAUAUAUGACUUAAGAAAAAAAAGAUCCUUAUGCACUAUCUGAAGGUGAUGCUUCCUGACUUUUGCAACAGAAAGAAUGCUGUCUUCCUGUGCCUGCGGAGAUGAUAAUCAAGCUGGCACACUGACAAUCAAUGUAAAUUCAUUAAACAAAACAGGAAGUAAACAGGUAUCUUUAAGUUUGUAUCUCCCAUUCAUAAGUACUUUCAAUCAUACCUGGUUAUGAAAUAGUUUUGAUGUUGCAAAUCAAUAAAACAAAAAACAAAUAAAUGAAACCCAAAGGAAAAAAAAAGAAUGGAAAAAUCCCGAAAGAAAUAAACAGAUUUUCCACC